rnacentral:rRNA from 1 species
UGGGGAAUAUUGGACAAUGGGCGAAAGCCUGAUCCAGCCAUGCCGCGUGUGUGAAGAAGGUCUUCGGAUUGUAAAGCACUUUAAGUUGGGAGGAAGGGCAUUAACCUAAUACGUUAGUGUUUUGACGUUACCGACAGAAUAAGCACCGGCUAACUCUGUGCCAGCAGCCGCGGUAAUUCAGAGGGUGCAAGCGUUAAUCGGAAUUACUGGGCGUAAAGCGCGCGUAGGUGGUUUGUUAAGUUGGAUGUGAAAUCCCCGGGCUCAACCUGGGAACUGCAUUCAAAACUGACUGACUAGAGUAUGGUAGAGGGUGGUGGAAUUUCCUGUGUAGCGGUGAAAUGCGUAGAUAUAGGAAGGAACACCAGUGGCGAAGGCGACCACCUGGACUAAUACUGACACUGAGGUGCGAAAGCGUGGGGAGCAAACA